rnacentral:lncRNA from 1 species
UCUCGGGAGAGUUGGGGUACAUGGCUGCCCCAAACUUUGGAAGUCCAUGAAGCUCAUGAUCGCGACCAAUUGAUUCCUUCUUAACGUAAGUUUUAAGAAACUUUUGAUUGGCCACACUUUCCCAUCAUGCACUGCGGAAUUCAUAGCAUUAAACUUCGUCAAGUUGACUUGACUCAGAGACUUUUCUCUCCUUAAAGCCUAAGCAAGACUCGGUUUUAAGAAUCAACUCCGCUCCUUGAGACUACUUCACAACUUGGGUCAUGUUCAUGCAUGUAUUUCACUUCUACGUCA